GCUUUUGUACACACCGCCCGUCGCUACUACCGAUUGAAUGAUUUAGUGAGGUCUUCGGACUGGUACGCGGCAUCGACUCUGUCGUUGCCGAUGCUACCGGAAAGAUGACCAAACUUGAUCAUUUAUAGGAAGUAAAAGUCGUAACAAGGUUUCCGUAGGUGAACCUGCGGAAGGAUCAUUA
rnacentral:rRNA from 1 species